rnacentral:rRNA from 1 species
AACGAACGCCGGCGGCAUGCCUAACACAUGCAAGUCGAACGAACCCUUCGGGGUUAGUGGCGCACGGGUGCGUAACGCGAGGGAAUCUGCCCUUUGCUUCGGAAUAACAGUUAGAAAUGACUGCUAAUACCGGAUGAUGUCUUCGGACCAAAGAUUUAUCGGCAAGGGAUGAGCCCGCGUAGGAUUAGGUAGUUGGUGGGGUAAAGGCCUACCAAGCCGACGAUCCUUAGCUGGUCUGAGAGGAUGAUCAGCCACACUGGGACUGAGACACGGCCCAGACUCCUACGGGAGGCAGCAGUGGGGAAUAUUGGACAAUGGGCGCAAGCCUGAUCCAGCAAUGCCGCGUGAGUGAUGAAGGCCUUCGGGUCGUAAAGCUCUUUUACCAGGGAUGAUAAUGACAGUACCUGGAGAAUAAGCUCCGGCUAACUCCGUGCCAGCCGCCGCUGUAAUAC